rnacentral:rRNA from 1 species
CGAGUGCUCCAAGCGUUAUCCGGAAUCAUUGGGCGUAAAGGGUGCGUAGGCGGUCAUGUUAGUCCUGUGUUAAAUUCUUCGGCUUAACCGGGGGCUCGCGCGGGAGACGGCAUGACUCGAGGAUGGGAGAGGUGUGUGGAACUCAUAGUGUAGGGGUGAAAUCCGUUGAUAUUAUGGGGAACACCGAAUGCGAAGGCAGCACACUGGCCCACUCCUGACGCUGAAGCACGAAAGCGUGGGUAGCGAAUGGGAUUAGAUACCCCAGUAGUCCACGCCCUAAACGAUGUUCUCUUGGUUUACGGAGUAUCGACCCUCUGUGAGCCGAAGCUAACGCGAUAAGAGAACCGCCUGGGUAGUACGACCGCAAGGUUA